rnacentral:rRNA from 1 species
UACGGAGGGGGCGAGCGUUAUUCGGAAUUAUUGGGCGUAAAGGGCGCGUAGGCGGCUUCGUAAGUCAGAGGUGAAAUCCCUCGGCUCAACUGAGGAACUGCCUUUGAAACUGCGAGACUUGAGUCCGGGAGGGGGUAGCGGAAUUCCCAGUGUAGCGGUGAAAUGCGUAGAUAUUGGGAGGAACACCAGUGGCGAAGGCGGCUACCUGGACCGGAACUGACGCUGAUGCGCGAAAGCGUGGGUAGCAAACAGG